rfam:Podiceps cristatus contig79279, whole genome shotgun sequence.
AGUUACUAGGCAGUGUAGUUAGCUGAUUGCCAGAACUAACAAUUACUAGCCACACAGCCAGAUAAAA